GAUGAAAGCAAUAAUUAAUUGCAGUGGAAGACCUGAAAUGGUAGAAACAUUCUCUGUCGCUUGUAGAGUGGCUCUUACAGCUUCAAUUCACAGUGGAAGUGGCACGGAUCAGUCCCUCGGAAGCGCAGAAAAUAGCGUAACGUCAUCUCUGCACUUGGAAGUACAAUAGAUACCUCCACAAGUUGCCUGCAUAAAGCUGUGGAUGGAUUCUUCAGACAUACAGCAAACACACCUCCCUGAGAGCUCCCCUUCUUGGAGCGCGCUGAGCUGCAGCCUGCCUGCGUGCCUUUGAAGAGGGCAUUUUUUGCAUUUGUUGGAAAGCCAAAGGACCAGAAACCCUGGAGCGACUGUCCUGUCUGGAGCAGGAUCCGCAGGGAGGGAUGCGCUGGGCGGCUGGAGAGGAGGAUGCUCGGGGAAACCUACAGAAUGGCUGGAGCUACUGGGUGACUUCAGCGCAAAGGUGGGAAGUGGUCGCGUGGAGGGGUCCCGGAGCUUCGGGGCAGGGUGACGUGUUAUUGCACCGGACUCAUCUUCCAGAGAGCUGCUGGGUGCUCAGAAUUUGUCACUGGUAGGAAGCGUAUACAAAAACUGUUCCUGUUUCUGAGCACGAGAACCAUACGUUGACACCAACCGAGAAGGUCAAACUCCACUUUUGCCACCUUAGUAGCCGUGAACCCGCAGUGAAAACAAUGCAUAUCCUGCUGAUUUAGUGCAGUAGAACUGAUAUAAAUGUUACUUACUUGUGCAGCAACUUGAAGUAGUUCUUAAAUGACUCAAGUUUAGAGAAAUAAAUAAAUUGAGGCAGCUAGUAGGGAAGUGCUUUAAUGUACACUAUGCGAGAACCAGAUAUGAAAAAUUACACUUGAAAUGGUUGUUUUGUGAGAAUACUAGUCAUUGUUAAAGCUACUUUUUGCAAGUAUUUAUUUUUUUUUAAGAUAUUUUUCACUUCAUUUUGUGGCUGUUAACGUUUUGGACUCUAUACACAUACAACAGAGAACGUAUAUAGGUAUCCUGAAGACACGGACGGCAUUAAUCCAAGUUGGCUUAAUCAUAUCAUGGUAAGGUUGAUGCUUUCUCGGUGGCUUUGAAUUUAACCUUUUUUUCAUUUAUACAUGCUGUUUAUUCCUUUAAUUAUUGCUUUUGCUGAAACAGUUGCAGACAGCUUAGUGUACAGCUGGUUUCAUCAUCACAUGAAGUGUGGGUAGUACGAUGAUGAAAAAGCUUUUGUCUCCCAAAGUGCUCUCUUGCUAAUCAUCACUAAUGAAGCUGCCCCAAUUAAGAACUAGCGUGCGCGGGCUGGAGUUACGGCUGUGGUGGCAUUAACCUCGCAAAGUGCAACGCUUCAAGUGCUGUUCUCUCACUGUAUUUGUAACAGCCCGUACGUACUUGUAAUACUUACUGAAUUCUUAGAUCUUCUUUAAGGCGUUGCAUAACUUUUACUUGAAUUUGCUUAUUCUGUACGCCCCAGGCUUGUACCAGCCUGUUAGGUGUGUUUGGCUUCGGGUCAGGACAGCUCUGGAGAAGGCAGCCCACUUCUUUCGCAGGAGUUCUGGGAUGUUUAUCCCUUAGGUUGGAUGAAAUAAACUCAUGAAAAACCCUCAGAAGACCACUUGGGAAAGCUACAGAUUUUCAGUGAAGCCCCAAACAGGAAACUACGCUGGCCUGGUUGCGGUUUCUUUCAACCAUGUCGAAAGAUAGCUGAUCGAGUACAAGAUUUCUGAAAGAAAGAGCUUUAUAUAAAUUUUGGAUACAGGCACACGGUUUGAAGACCAUGGGUGAAUAUAUAACUCUGUGUUUGUGAUUUAACAUGUAAUAUGUUAUGACCACUACCUGUCGUGGCUGGUUCUUCAAGGGUUUCUGUUAGAAAGUUGCAUUCAACAAAUGUUUGAUAGCAUGGUGUUUUUUUAUAAGAAACGUUGUCAUCUUUAGGAUUAACCGAGGAUCAGAUGUAGGGGAGAAGCAUGAUUAUUUCCAAACAACACAAAAUUAUCAGCAAUUUCGAAGUACUUUAAAAUAUGUGGUUUUGUCUUUAAUUGUGCUGUUGCUGUGCUUGCUCAUGAGCUGUGGGUGAUAACAUGAGAUUAUCAUCUGCCUACUUGAUCACAUGCACAUUUGUGAUGCUUGCAAGAAAAAACAUUAUCUGGCUGGUAACUGUCAUAUUAUGCAGAGUUUAAGAGACUGUUUCCCAGACAACAGAACAGUUGUAUCGCGUCCAUGAGCCGUGCACUCUCCUGUAUCUGCACUUCAGUCAAACACCCGCUGCCGGCUGCUGCUCCUGCUAAUGGCGCGGGCAAGAUGGAACUGUUUGUGUAGCCAUAAUCGAGCUCCCUGAACCAUGGAAGUCAAGGAAAUUGCACAAUAAAUGAAAAAAAAAAAAAAUCAUGGUUCUAAGGAGUCAUACAGCACAUACCUUGUUACAAAUUUUGUGUCGGUUUUUAAAUUGAAACCAAGCCAUUCACUAGCCAAAAGCCAUUUCAGGGCCACGUACUACCUGUCUGAGAGCCCUGCUGCCAAGCGUGACUGCAGCGCAGCGCUGCAACGCGGCGGAUCCCGCCACCGUGGAUCUCAGAACGUCACAGCAAGCCCUGCGGAUCCCAGGUGCAAAACCUGACCUUGAGAGCAGGCGGUUCGCUGCUGCUGAGGCCGCGAGUGCCCAGCUGGCUGCCGCUGCACCUUGAUUUUCUACAUUUGGCAUGUCGGCAGGUGGGGGAGAAACUGGUAAGGAAAAUAAUUGUUUGCAUUCAAAGGGUCUGAGCAGCGUUAGAGCCCCGUUAGCGUGGAGCGUUAGUGCGUUUCACAGCUGCGUAGAUGCGUCGCUUGCUUGGUAAGGAAGGUGUUUGGCCAGUUUUGCACAUGAGGCAACAGCGCUCUGAAGUUGUGCAGCUUUAAGCCUCUUAGGACUUUUUAUGGCAGAAGAAUAAAAUAAAAGGAAUCUGAAGAUCAAAUAUUUGUUCCAGGGCUAGUGCCAGAUCACUCUAUUAAAUGCACAUUUUUAAUGUACCCUAGCUUAAACUAAAUGUUCUGAAGCAAAUAUGACAGGGUUUGAAUGGUUUUUUUCUUUUUUGGGGGGGGGAUGGGAGGCACGGAGGGAGGAUGUUGGUGGGGUUUAGGGUUUUGUUUCAAGGUGUGGGGUUUUCUGGGGGAAGGGAGAGACAUUAAAUGCUCGGUAACAAAAACUACAUCUCUCCUCGUUGUUCUUCAGUCAGCUCCAAAGGAGUGUGCUGGAGCGGAGCGGAGCGGUGUCGUCACUCGGCAGCGCAUAGACCGCGCUGCUGCCUCACACUCAGGCGGACACAGGUUUCUGAAGAUCUGGUCACAAACUUGUCUUUUUUCACUCGUGAAGAAUGUCUGCAGUGUUUACAUGUGAUUUAAAAUCCUGGCAUAAAAAAAGCGGUCUGGAAACUUUCUGGCCAGGCAACCAGACGUUCUGAAUCUCCAGAGUCCCGCAGGAGGAAUUCCGCUGCCUGUAUUUCACUUCUCCUUGGGAUGAGGGCAAACGUUGAAGGUGAGCGUACAAAGAUGCCAGAAGAUUAUUUAUGUACAUGUUAUCUGAAAACUUCUGGGGUUUUUCAGUCCUUUUGGGAAGGCACUGGCAGAAGCAAUGGGGUUUGGCUGUGUAUGUUCGUUAUUCGGGGUAGGGUGGCCAGUGACGGUCCCUCGCCAGCAGAAGGCGAGCGCAGAUCACGAGCGUGUUGGAGGGGCAGCACCUUCCUGCUGGGAAACGCUGGGGUGCAGCCGCGCGGGGACCCUCGGGCUGCGCUGCCCGCAAUGGUGUAAACCAUUUAAACCAGUCUGAGAUCAGGCCCUUGUGGAAAGGGCCGUUUGUGGCCACAUGUUCCCGUCUCCACCAUUUUUCUGCCUCUGAAAUCAUACAGCAGCCGGUAACAUCGGCAAACUGGUCCAGCAGCAAGUCAGGCCUUUCGUGGAGGUUUAAGUUAGUGACAAAUUAAGCAGGCUUAACUAGAGGACAUAAAAGGGACGGGUUUUUAUUAUUGUUGUUGUUUGGGCAUGUUUCAUUGCUUUUAUGUUGAGUUUUUGUUAAUAUCUUUAAAGUACUGAAAAAAGGCCCUCCGACGCGUUUCCAGCGCGGAAUCUCUGUCUAGAUGCCAUUUGGCCAUGGAAGCCGGGGAACAGUGUAUUUCUGCAGAGGAAUCCGCUCCGGAAGCCGGGCUGGCAGCGCUGGGGGCACGGGGGCAGCAGCAGAGCUGGGAUCCCGGAUCCCCGGGGUGUGGGGGGUCCCUGGGGGUGCGGGGGGUCCCUGGGGGGCGCGGGGCCCAUCCUGCCCGGGGACCCAGCCCCCUCUGGCGGUGUCCCACGCGGAAGGCAUCAACCGAUUCAACCUAUUUCUCUGUAAGAACAUACCCACCUGCGCUUCUCUCAACGUUGGUACGUUCACUGCUAUUUCGUCUCUUCUAAGGCUACGAUAGGUAUUAGUCUCAGGAUAGAAAAUUAUAAUCUGUAAAAAUUUCUAUUUGCAUUUCAUUUGCAACUUGACAGCCAUUUUCCCCAGAACAUGGGGGAUCAGGGAAAAGGGAUUCGCUGGCUAGUUCUAUGAUCUGAUUUUUCUUCAAAUUGCGGGAGCAAGAGCCCGAAGUACUCAAGGAGAGCUUUGCUACCCAACAAAGGUUUUUUACGAAGUACGUACAGGAAAAUGCAAACACCAACAGCCUCAUCUACUGACUCGACUGUGGCUGGUGAAAGGGUGUUCAGACACAGUCACUGAGCAUUGUAUAACAGAAGUCAUUGAAGAGGUAUGUCUGGAAAAGAAAACAUCGAUAAUGUCGGUUUUCUGCCAGUACAACUGCCGGACUGACAAAGGGAGUGGGAACUUGUUUUUCCAGCUCAAGAAAAGACCUUUGGAUGGUUUUCAUUAAUACUGCGUGAGAAUACCAGUAUUCAAACACAUCAAAACUUUUAAUUUCAGAUCAAGGAACUGGUGGAGUAUUAUUGUAGCAUUAGCUGUAUUUUAAAAUAUGACGGGGGGGGAAAAAACACUACCAAAUACAUUUUUCUUAGGAGUAUGAAACAGCAAACUUGCCUCAGUGUAAUAUGAAAACGGCAGCUGGGAGGUGAGGCAGGGUUCCCAGCCAG